AUUGAACGCUAGCGGGAGGCCUAACACAUGCAAGUCGAACGAGCGGCGGACGGGUGAGUAAUAUAUGGGAAUGUGCCCAGUAGAGGGGGAUAACUACUGGAAACAGUGGCUAAUACCGCAUACUAUCGGAGGGGCCGAUAUCGGAUUAGCUAGUUGGUGGGGUAAAGGCUCACCAAGGCAACGAUCCUUAGCUGGUUUGAGAGGAUGACCAGCCACACUGGGACUGAGACACGGCCCAGACUCCUACGGGAGGCAGCAGUGGGGAAUUUUGGACAAUGGGGGAAACCCUGAUCCAGCCAUCCCGCGUGUAUGAGAAGGCCUUCGGGUUGUAAAGUACUUUUGGCAGAGAAGCGGUAUCUGCAGAAUAAGCACCGGCUAACUACGUGCCAGCAGCCGCGGUAAUUC
rnacentral:rRNA from 1 species